UGCGUAGGCGGCUUUCUAAGUCGGAUGUGAAAACUCUGGGCUCAACCCAGAGCCUGCAUCCGAAACUGGAGAGCUUGGGUUCUGGAGGGGAAAGCGGAAUUCCUGGUGUAGCGGUGAAAUGCGUAGAUAUCGGGAGGAACACCGGUGGCGAAGGCGGCUUUCUGGACAGAUACCGACGCUGAGGCACGAAAGCUAGGGGAAGCAAACA
rnacentral:rRNA from 1 species